GCUUAACACAUGCAAGUCGAACGAUGAAGGCGGGAGCUUGCUCCUGCCGGAUUAGUGGCGAACGGGUGAGUAACACGUGAGUAACCUGCCCUUGACUCUGGGAUAAGCGUUGGAAACGACGUCUAAUACCGGAUACGACCCUCGGAGGCAUCUCCUGGGGGUGGAAAGAAUUUCGGUCAAGGAUGGACUCGCGGCCUAUCAGCUAGUUGGUGAGGUAAUAGCUCACCAAGGCGACGACGGGUAGCCGGCCUGAGAGGGUGACCGGCCACACUGGGACUGAGACACGGCCCAGACUCCUACGGGAGGCAGCAGUGGGGAAUAUUGCACAAUGGGCGAAAGCCUGAUGCAGCAACGCCGCGUGAGGGACGACGGCCUUCGGGUUGUAAACCUCUUUUAGUAGGGAAGAAGCGAAAGUGACGGUACCUGCAGAAAAAGCACCGGCUAACUACGUGCCAGCAGCCGCGGUAAUACGUAGGGUGCAAGCGUUAUCCGGAAUUAUUGGGCGUAAAGAGCUCGUAGGCGGUUUGUCACGUCUGCUGUGAAAACUGGAGGCUCAACCUCCAGCCUGCAGUGGGUACGGGCAGACUAGAGUGCGGUAGGGGAGAUUGGAAUUCCUGGUGUAGCGGUGGAAUGCGCAGAUAUCAGGAGGAACACCAAUGGCGAAGGCAGAUCUCUGGGCCGUAACUGACGCUGAGGAGCGAAAGCAUGGGGAGCGAACAGGAUUAGAUACCCUGGUAGUCCAUGCCGUAAACGUUGGGAACUAGAUGUAGGGGCCAUUCCACGGCUUCUGUGUCGCAGCUAACGCAUUAAGUUCCCCGCCUGGGGAGUACGGCCGCAAGG
rnacentral:rRNA from 1 species